GUUAAUUUAUUUCAUUUUGAGACAAUUGUUGAUUUUUAAUUACAAAAUUUGAAUGCGUUGUUUAUCUUUACGAAUUUAGUUAGCAUAUUUUAUAUAAUUGAUGCAACUAUAAAUUCACUAAAAUAACUAAUUAACUUAAAUUUUAUAUCAGAAGAACAAUCAAAUCAUUUAAAUCAAACGGAAUGACAAGCUGGGUAGUAAAAUUAAAAUUUUGUAAGAUUUAGCAGAAGAAUCAAAAUGGUUUAUAGUUCAGAUAUGUUUCAUAUGUUUUUACCAAU
rnacentral:lncRNA from 1 species